rnacentral:rRNA from 1 species
UACGGAGGGUGCGAGCGUUGUCCGGAAUCACUGGGCGUAAAGGGCGCGUAGGCGGCUCAUGAAGGCUGUGGGGAAAGUCCGGGGCUCAACCUCGGAUCGGCCGUGGCGACUCGUGGGCUGGAGCACUGUAGAGGCGGGUGGAAUUCCGGGUGUAGCGGUGGAAUGCGUAGAGAUCCGGAAGAACACCAGUGGCGAAGGCGGCCCGCUGGGCAGUGGCUGACGCUGAAGCGCGACAGCGUGGGGAGCAAACAGG